rnacentral:ncRNA from 1 species
GUGAGCGUUGAAAGUGUCGGCGUAAGCCCGCCUGGAGCGCCACUGGUGCAGAUCUGGUGGUAGUAGCAAAUACUCAAGAGAGAACUUUGAGGUCUGAAGUGGAGAAGGGUUCCAUGUGAAUAGCAGUUGAACAUGGGUCAGUCGGUCCUAAGGGAAACGACAUGUUCUUUCCUUCCGUAGCGGGAGCACUUUUUUGCAGUGGAGAGAGCCCCGCAGUGACCAAAAGGGAAUCGGGUUAAUAAUCCCGAACCCGGACAUGGAGAUUGGUCCUUCGGGGCCCAGUGCGGUAACGCAGACCACCUCGGAGACGUCGAUGCGAGCCCUCGGAAGAGUUUUCAUUUCUCUGUAAGGAGAUCGAGUCCCUGCAAUGGGUUCUCCUCGAGAUAGGGAUGGUGGCUCCGUAAAGCAUUGCGGCUCUUGCGCUGUCUGGUGCAGUCGCGUCGGCCCUUGAAAAUCCGAGUGAGAGAGUGUGAUUUUCGUGCCGGACCGUACCCUCGUCCGCAGCAGGUCUCCAAGGUGAACAGCCUCUAGUCGAUGGGCUGAUGUAGGUAAGGGAAGUCGGCAAAAUGGAUUCGUAACCUUGGCAUAAGGAUUGGCUCUAAGGAAUGGGUGAGACAUCAUAGUUGCUUGCUUGCGCAGAAAUCCAACUCUCACCUGCUCGUUGUGUCCGCUGCCAGGGGAGUACGCCGAUGAAAGGGAUGCAAUAUCCUGGCUGCUUCUCUGCAAUGAGAACUCUGGU